rnacentral:lncRNA from 13 species
UUUGUCUCCUUUCUACAUCAGGCAUCUGUGGUUGAUUCCUUCUCUGCUGGUUCUCCAUUUCCCCUUUUUAAAAGUCUAGGAACUAGCAUGACUGAGACAACUUCUCUGUAGAAGGUAGAGAAAGGUGGAGGAAACUUAACUGAGAAGAUAAUUAAGACUGGUGUGAAACGAUAGUAGAAGUUGGGAAAAGGAGGCUGAGAUCAGAAAUGCUUCAAAUUAGGUGCUUCCAUUAAGAUAUAGUGAGCCACAAGAUAGCAACAAAACAAAAACAAAUUCACAUAACAAAAAAAUCACAGCUUGAGUAAAGCAUUAGAGAGUGAAAUCAUAAAGCAACUAAAUGAGCCUAUUUCCAAAGGAUGACAAGACCUACCAACAAGAGAAGGUUCGCACAACUUGUUUCAUAUUUGGCAGAGAAUGGGUGAAAAGAGAAACCACCAUAGAAAAAUGUUAAAAGAAUUUCUUUAUGCUGAAGAAAAAUAAUACCAG